UCCUCCCACUCCGUCUGCAAAUCCACUGCCUCUUCUCAACCACCACCACAACCACCAUCUCUUCGUCGCCAACCACCACCAAAAGCCAUCAUGUCUUUCCUACACUAAUACCCACCAUACCCUAUUUUCUCUAGACACUUAUUUCACCAAUUUCCCCUUUAUCUAUCCCUGAAACCCUAGGUGGGAAAUUGGUAAAAUAGGUGAGUCUAUAGAAGCGAUGGAAGGCAUGGAGAGGAGCAGGAGAGGCAGUAGCAGCAUGGGGGAAGAGAUGGAGUAGUUAUCAGUCGAAUUAGGUUCUGACAAGAUUCUUUGAGCCACCAUGUACCUGUGGUGCUGCUGAGGAAGAAGCUUGUGCUGCUGCUACUACUGCCAAGACUGUUGCUGUGCUGCUGCCAGCUGCUGCUGCUGAGUGCUGUGUAGCCCUGCUGUUGAGUUGCUGCUGAACAGGCCUGAAACAUUGUUGCUGCCAAGGCUAGGAGAAAAGGGAAAGGAACAAGAGCUUGUGAACUGUGAGUUGCUGCUACAACAACCAAAGCAUACAACCCAGUUUACUGGGUUUGGUAAUCUUUUCUCCCACUGAAAUUUCUGGGCCCUGUAAGAAUUAUUUUUGAAGCUUUGUAAACCCAAUUGCACUCUGCUUCUGAGAUGUGAACUUAAAACCCAAGUGAGAUUUGCACCUGCACUCUGGGCUUGACCCAACAAAAAUUUGAAAAACGUUUUCAAAGCCCAAUUGGGCCUCGAACUUUGGCUAA